rnacentral:rRNA from 1 species
GACGAACGCUGGCGGCGUGCUUAACACAUGCAAGUCGAACGGAAAGACCCUGCUUUUGUGGGGUGCUCGAGUGGCGAACGGGUGAGUAACACGUGAGUAACCUGCCCUUGACUUUGGGAUAACUUCAGGGAACUGGGGCUAAUACCGGAUAGGAGCUCCUGCUGCAUGGUGGGGGUUGGAAAGUUUCGGCGGUUGGGGAUGGACUCGCGGCUUAUCAGCUUGUUGGUGGGGUAGUGGCUUACCAAGGCUUUGACGGGUAGCCGGCCUGAGAGGGUGACCGGCCACAUUGGGACUGAGAUACGGACCAGACUCCUACGGGAGGCAGCAGUGGGGAAUAUUGCACAAUGGGCGGAAGCCGGAUGCAGCAACGCCGCGUGCGGGAUGACGGCCUUCGGGUUGUAAACCGCUUUCGCCUGUGACGAAGCGUGAGUGACGGUAAUGGGGAAAGAAGCACCGGCUAACUACGU